rnacentral:rRNA from 1 species
GAUGAACGCUGGCGGCGUGCCUAAUACAUGCAAGUCGAGCGAACAGAUGAGGAGCUUGCUCCUCUGACGUUAGCGGCGGACGGGUGAGUAACACGUGGAUAACCUACCUAUAAGACUGGGAUAACUUCGGGAAACCGGUGCUAAUACCGGAUAAUAUAUUGAACCGCAGGGUUCAAUAGUUAAAGACGGUUUUGCUGGCACUUAUAGAUGUAUCCGCGCCGCAUUGGCUAGUUGGUAAGGUAACGGCUUACCAAGGCGACGAUGCGUAGCCGACCUGAGAGGGUGAUCGGCCACUGUGAAACUGAGACACGGUCCAGACUCCUAGGGGAGGCAGCAGUAGGGACGCUUGCGAAAUGGGCGAAAGACUGACGGAGCAACGCAGCGUGAGUGCUGAAGGUCUUCGGAUCGUAAAACUCUGUUAUUAGGGAAGAACGAAUGUGUCAGUAACGAUGCACGUCUUGACGGUACCUACUCAGAAAGCCACGGCUAACUACGUG